CCACGCCGUAAACGAUGUCGACUAGCCGUUGGGUCUCCUUGAGCACUUAGUGGCGCAGUUAACGCGAUAAGUCGACCGCCUGGGGAGUACGGCCGCAAGGUUAAAACUCAAAUGAAUUGACGGGGGCCCGCACAAGCGGUGGAGCAUGUGGUUUAAUUCGAUGCAACGCGAAGAACCUUACCUACCCUUGACAUCCUCGGAAUCCGCCGGAGACGGCGGAGUGCCUUCGGGAGCCGAGAGACAGGUGCUGCAUGGCUGUCGUCAGCUCGUGUUGUGAAAUGUUGGGUUAAGUCCCGUAACGAGCGCAACCCUUGUCCCUAUUUGCCAGCGAUUCGGUCGGGAACUCUAGGGAGACUGCCGGUGACAAACCGGAGGAAGGUGGGGACGACGUCAAGUCAUCAUGGCCCUUACGGGUAGGGCUACACACGUGCUACAAUGGCCGGUACAAAGGGUUGCAAUCCCGCGAGGGGGAGCCAAUCUCGGAAAGCCGGUCUCAGUCCGGAUCGGAGUCUGCAACUCGACUCCGUGAAGUCGGAAUCGCUAGUAAUCGUGAAUCAGAAUGCACGAUGGCC
rnacentral:rRNA from 1 species